UGGCCCCUCCCGUUCAGGCGAGGCUGUGGCUCCCACUUCUCCUCGCUCUCAAGGCGUCCUCUUUGUGUGGUUAAUAGUUGCUCCCCGAGCAUGGCAGCCGCGAGGGAGUUGCAUCAUCUCACUGCCGGACUGUCCUUCUUUCUGAACGUGGAGGGUCCCAAUCUCACUCUGGAGGCCCAGCAGAGAAUGUAUCAGGAGAGAUCACGUUCUUCACUUAAAUUUGGUGUCUUUGUGUGUGUGUGUGUACAUGUGUGUGUGUUUGUUUUCAUUUUGAGCUCCUGGCUGUGGCACGCACGUGGUGGCGACCUUGACAUAUCUGGGGACCGAUGUUCCAGUUCAGUGCAGGUCUGUCCGGUGCUGUCAGCCGGGGUGUGUGUAGUUACGAUGCAGUGUGGAACUCGUUGUCUGUCUUGUGUGGGGGUUAUUUGUGUCCAGGUACCAGAGGAGAAGUUAAAAAAGUCUUUGCGAAAUUAAAGGAGGAACUGAUCAUUUGUCACCAGGUAUUAUAGCUUUGCUGUCAUUAAUGUAAGACAUGGGCCCCAGGCAGUGUCUCUUGAGCCCCUCAGGAGGUAGGGACAUGCCAGCCUUCAACCGGGAGCCCGGUUUACUUGGCACGUCAUGGGGGAGAGUCAGGAACCAGGCAGAGCUGCUCCCGAAAUGUGGGCUGCAGACCUCCCCGCACGGGGGUCGUGCCAGUGCAGAUGGGCCAGCCUCAUCCCCUGCUUCUGGGGAAGAAUGUCAUGAAGUCUGUACUUUUAAACUUGUUUUAUUUUUAAUUAAAAAAUUUUUUUUAAUUUUUUGGCUGCACUGGGCAGCAUGCGGGAUCUUAGUUCCCGGACCAGGGAUCGAACCAGUGCCCUUUGCAGUGGCAGCGAGGAGUCUUAACCACUGGACCACCAGGGAAGCCCCUAAACUUUUUUUAAUGGAGAGUUCAGACAUAAACACAAAAAGUAGAAUAAUGUGUCCCCAUGUCCUACCUUAGCUUUAGUCCUCACUGCCUGGCGUGACCUCACCUGUGACCGAGGCCCAGUCCUGUCCCUCUGCUCUGCCCUGUGUCGUAUCCUAGAGAUUUUAUUUAUUUUAUUUUAUUUUUUUGGCCUCGCAGCAUGUGGGAUCUUAGUUCCCCGACCGGGGAUCAAACCCGCACCCCCAGCAGUAGAAGCAAGGAUUCUUAACCACUGGACCGCCAGGGAAGUCCCUAGAGAUUUUAAUAGGUAUCCUAAGAUGCUUCUGGAAGACUUCACAGUGACCCGUGAGAGGAGAGUGAGAGAGGCAGUUGCCGUCUUAGUGUUGGUGUGAACGUGGCCUCGACCUGCACGUCUUCUUGGAAGCUGCGGCCCAGAAGCCUGACUGGGCUCCCACACCCGUGACUGCGUGAGGGAAGGCGGUGGGUCCUCCCGUCAGGAGGCGAUGAUGUUGGCAGCUGUGGAUGGUCAGGGCCCUCGAUCAGACCUUUUCUCUAAAGGGCCACGUGGUAGAUGCUGUCACCUCGGCUCAGCUGUGCUGUUGUAGCGUGAAAGCCGCUGUAGACGGCAUGUAAGUAGAUGGGCACAGCUGCUUUCCAGUGACCUUUUAACUACAGACACUGAAAUCUGAAUUUCAUAGAAUUUUCACAUGUCGCAAAGUAUUAACCUUCAGAUUUUUUCCCAGCAUUCAAAUGGUUAAGAACCUGGGAAAUAUGGAUCAGGUGGACAUUUUCCUAUUCCUCCCACUAAGCACAAUAAACGCUAGACAUUAUGUAUAAAACAAGCCUAAGACUGUGAAGUGUGGGGAAUUCCCUGGCAUUCCAGUGGUUAAGACUCGGUGCUUUCAAUGCCAUGGGCCUGGGUUUGAUCCCUGGUCGGGGAACUAAGAUCCCACAAGCUGCAUGACGCGGCCAAAAAAAAAAGUUCUGAAAUGUGGAGAGAAGAAGGCAAGCUGGCAGGGACAAUGGGGCCUGAUGAACAAUGGGGUGAUGAGUUGUCUGGGUUUUCUUUUUACACUCAUAUCCCCAUUUUAUCCCAGACUCUGGCCUUCUAGAUAUGCCAGCAGGUACAGACCAAAAACAUGUCACAACGAAGACUGUUCUCUGUGGGACCAGGAAAGACAGUCUAACAAGAAGAAAAAUGUUUAGACAGUAAAUGCUCGACUUCAACCAAACACCCAGAAACAACUGUGGCCUCACCCGCACUCACGGCAGAGAAAAUAGACUGGGGAACAGAGCAAAGCCUUGGGGACCUGUGGGACCUUGGAAUUCUGAAAGCAGAGGAGGAAGCGCGUGGGGUGGAAAAGGCCCAGAGGAAAUAAUGGCUAAAGAUUUCCCCAAGUUGGCAAGAAAUGUAAACCUACAGAUUCAAGAGGCUGCACACACCACAAAUAGGAUAAACCCAAGAAAAUUCAGGCCAAGACGUAUCAUAAUUAAGCUCCUAAAAACUAAAGACAUUAAAAAAAAAAAAACAACCUUGAAAGGGACUUCCCUGGUGGUCCAGUGGCUAAGAGUCUGCGCUCCCAGUGCAGGGGACCUGAGUUCAAUCCGUGGUCAGGGAACUAGAUCCCAUAUGCCACAACUAAGAGUUCACAUGCUACAGCUAAAGAUCUCGCGUGCCACAACUAAGACCCGGUGUAGCCAAAUAAAUAAAGAGAUAAAUAUUAAAGCAACAACAACAAAAACCAACCUUGAAAGCAGCCAGAGCAAAUUGACACCAUUCGUUUAUGGGAAGAAAUUGGAAAGACAAUAGGUUUUCAUCAAAGACUCUGGAGGUUAGAGGGAAGCGGCACAGUGCUUUUGGUGUUGGACUCUUACAUCUCCAGAAGUGGGGGACUGAAAGGUCUUUAUAAGGACCCUGCAGAUCUCAGCUCCCUCUAAGCUUCUGUUAGAAACACAGGCUGGCUUCUCCAGAUGCAGACUGUCUGGCUGAGAACUGCAGUUGUUUGGAUUUGAAAUUUUGCAUGGAAAGGGUGGGAAGGUAUGAAGCCCCUCGGUGCCACUGGAGUAGAGCUCCGGGCGGGUCUUGGAGCCUGUGUCUGAGCUUGUCCGGGCUGUGUGCUAGCUCACGUCACAGGGGAAUGUUGACCGUUGGUGAUGACUUGGGCCUUAGUAACGAUUGUCCUGAACCUCGUCUGUGUGUGCAGAGCUUUGGGCUUUAUGAAACCUUUUGCCUCUUCCCCCAGUCCCUACCUUCCCAGCCCCAUUUGUGACUCAUCCGCCCCUUCCUACCCCCAGGUCCCUAGGAGAAAUGUGUUCUGAGAACUGUUUGAAGUUAGGACACACCUUUUUCUUUUGUGUCUUCAGGUUUUUACAUACCCUCUUUCCCAGUGUUUUGUGCCUUGUGAGGUGUUCCAUCCUCUGGGUUCGUUUCUGGAGUCAUCUUUUCCAUGCUGCCUUGGCAGUCCAGCCCUGUUGUUCCCCUUCCUCCCUCCCCAGCCCCCCUGCCGGCCCCGUGCACCAUGACCCCAAUGGUAUAAAACCUGCCACGUCGCUUGUGAGGGGUGAUUCCCCAGAGCUCCACCCUACACCCCACUCCCUUCAGAGGUGGUUUCUCUCCGUUCAGCCCGUGUCCCAGGAUCUAGCGACAAUGCCUGGCGCCUCUUAGAUGCUCAGUAAGUAGGUGAAUGACCAAUAAGAAUAAAUACGAACAUCCUUGCUUUCGCAUGAAGAAUCGGAGAUUUGGGAAUUUGAAAGAUGCGCUCAGGGUAGGAAGCUGACCCAGGAAGGAGCUGGAGCUUGAAUUCUGGUGACUUGAUUCCAGGGAUGUUGGUUUUUCCAGCUGGAGCACUGGCCCAUUGGCGCUCCCGUACCCCUGCCAGCUCCAUGUUACCGGGAUGAAAAGAGCUGUGCGAUCAGAUGUUACCACGGGAAAGAGCCUGUGCUCAGACCCCAGCUUCGCGUUUACCCGCCGGGGGUGCCCGGCUUGCCUCUGCCUCGGGUGCGGAGUGAAGGGAAUAGUGCUGGUCACGGAGUUAGACCAGUUUCCACGUGUGAGACAUCCAGACGAACGGGGCCCCGCACGUCACGCGCACUCCAUGCUGGUUGUCCGGAAAGAGGGAGGAGAGGAGGUUUCCUGAGCACGGGUGAACACGUGACAACUCUGAGCUCACAGGCCUGGGGGCCGUGUUUUGCGGACUUCCCACCUAGAUGGUUAACUCCUUAGGGUUCGGCUGAUGUGAUGCUGCAGUUGAAGGCAUUUCCUGUCUUAGCUGCCGCACUUCUGAGAAGGGAAGCUUCCUCUUCCUCCGUGACUACUUUGUAACCCGGUGGAACCAGGUGACAGAUGAUGCGCGCUGUCAGGUGACUCGGUCCAGGCCCCUCUCCGUGUCUGCUGCUGCCCCACACUCACGCCCUGAGCCUCGUGCUGGACGGGAGCCCUGCACGCGGACGAGCACGUGGUUGUGGUGCCCGUGAUCGUCGUGCUCCCAUUCCACGAGGGCUCGGUUGGGGCCGAGACCCGUGCUCUGAGCCGUGCGCCCUCCCCUGGUGGGGGCGGGGCUCCUCCAGGAGCUCAUGAGCCCCCGAUCCUGCCCAGGAGGUUGACCCCGGCCAGGUCCCCGUCCAGGCGGUGGCCCUGCGGGCGGGGCUUCUGUGGGAAUUGCCGGCGUCCUACCAUCUCCACCGGAGGACAGCUGGGGAGGGGCGGGAUGUGGUGACGUCAGUCGAGGACGUCUCUCUCGAAUCCUUGGAACGUGAUGGGGAGAUCACCAGCCGCGGCCUCGAGUGCCUGGACGCCCUCAAGGGCAGUCGUGCCGUCAGUCCUGGGCUCACAGAGGCACAUGCAGAAACGUAAAAACGACCCCUGCUAAUCAGUAAUGAGCACAUAAUUAAAGAAGGGACCUCUGGCGUCUGGCUUAUGCCUUCCUUCCAGCUUGGAUUUAUUCUUCAGAGGUUUGAAUACAGGUUAAGAUUGAGCCUGACUCCUCGGGCUUGAGCUGAAUGCCUCUUUCUGCUAUUCUAAUGGGAAAUCUUACAACAAAAGAAAUAUUCGUUCACUACUUUCAAAUUUUCUCAUUCAGAGAGUGUGUGGUAAAAUGGUGUCCAGAACAUCAGAGUUUAAGGCCAUUGCCCACAUUAGAAUACCCCAGUUCCCUUGGGUCCUAACGGAUUGCUGUCAGAACUGUUCUUGCUGUGGAGCACAGUGUAGAUUUUGUCACCGUGAGGCAUGUGUCAGGGAUGAGAGCGUAGUCUUCAUUAGAAUCUUGAGGUGGAGUAAUUCAUCCACCGAACGAGCAGCCUUUGUCUUUGGAGUGUGGGUAGUGAUGUUUUUGUAAAAGCCAGGGAUCCUUGGCUUUACAGGGAACAUGGCUGAGACUAGUUUUCUGUUUUCAAAAAUGAGUCUAAGGGACUUCCCUGAUGGCGCAGUGGUUAGGAGUCCGCCUGCCAAUGCAGGGGACACGGGUUCAAGCCCUGGUCCAGGAAGAUCCCACAUGUCACAGAGCAACUAAGCCCAUGCACCACAACUACUGAGUCUGCGCUCUAGAGCCUGUGAGCCACAACUACUGACCCCCGUGCCACAACUACUGAAGCCUGCACGCCUAGAGCCCGUGCUCCACAACAAGAGAAGCCACUGCACUGAAAAGGCCGUGCACCGCAACAAAGAGUAGCUCCCGCUCGCCGCAACUAGAGAAAGCCCGCGCGCAGCAACGAAGACCCAACGCAGUCAAAAAUAAAUAAAUUUUUUAAAAAAUGAGUUUAAGAUAGUAGGAGCUUCAGCUCCUACUAGAAUCUGGAAAGUUCUGUUAGCACUUAGCUGGUUUCGGGUGAUUGAGUAUAUUUACAUGAUUGAGGAUGAUGAUGAAAAAAAUAUGUUUAAAAAAAUUUUUAAGAUAUAUGUAUAGGACACUAGGUUGUCUGUGUUAUAAGACAGACCAGAAUCACAAUCAUGUAACUUUGAAGUGGGUGCCAAGCUAAUGUCUGAGAUAAUUUAAUGGUGGUUCUGGACUUAAUGUCCUUUUUUUUUUUUUUUUUUUAGAUGCUGGCUUACUCGCAUCAGGAAGUGAGAGCACUUUUUGUCUCUUGGGCAUUUGCCAGAUUUGCACAAAGCAGGAGGCAUCUGCAGUUGUCUGUUUAAGGCAAUUUCUUCAUGCUUUUAACAGAAUGUGUUAGCGUGGGUACUUAGGCGUAUGUAAGCUACGUGAUUGUUGCUUCCCUGUGUUAGACCUGGGCUUUCCAGCCUUUGUCAGGUGCUUUCCCCUCUCUAGUGUUACUGGUGAUGACAAAGGACAUCGGUGAAGUUUAGAAAGUGGUGCUUAAUUUUAUUAUAUAGCUGUCUAUUGAAUUUGACAAAAGACAAAAAAGUCCCAGCGAUUCCUCAAAAUUUUAGAGGUCUGUUUUUUCCCACAAAGGUCAUUUGAGGACCGUGAGACCAGACUUAAGAAGCGUUUUCCCAGCUUGAGCCCUUUUGAUUUUUAAAAUAAAGAAACACCCACAUCGCCUUCUGAUAAUACGUUUGGUCAUUUAGAUGCUUUCUAUGAAGGAAGUUGUGGUGAUAGUUUCUGGAACGUGAAGGCUGCAGCAGACAGAUUAAGUGGGUGAUGGGAAAGCCAAGGAUACAGGGCUUGGGAACUUUUUAGAAAUGAAGCUUUGUUUUGCGCAGCCUUGGUUAAUCAUGCCUCCCAGGAGGAAGCAUUGCUAGAGAUUAGCUAAACAAAUGGGAUGAAAGUCAAAAUUUGAGGUUGGAUUUGUUAGAUGAAUUUUGAUUAAAGGGCUUAAGUUGUAAGAAUGCAACAUUGUCCCACAAAAAGCUGCUGAUGCUUUUUGGGAUACCUGUGUAUCCCACACCCAAGUGACAAUGCAGAGCACACCGGAGGCACUCAGUAAGUGCUUGUCAAAUGAAUAAGUAAUGGUGUCAUAUGUUUUAUUUGGUGUGUAUGGGGUUUGGCUUAGUGAGGUAGAGCUCUUUAAAUGUUGCCGUAUAAUAACACAUGAGUAAGUGCUAAUAAACAUGCCCUCAGUCAGCAUUAAAAUAGAUUUGAAAGCUCAUUUCAACUCCAUGUAAUUUCAGUAAUUCUGUGCAGUAUUUCAGCAUUUCUUCUCUCCCUCGGGAUUAGUGCAGGAACAGUUCUCGGACAUGGGAAGGUGCUGUUCUGCACCAGUGAGGCUUCCAGGGGAGUGGGUGAAAUCUUCUGGAUCACACAUGAACAUUUUUUCUUGUGAACUUCUUCAGUUUUCCAUAUUAAUAUAUAGCUUCAAUACCAUUAAUCAGAAUUCCAGGUGGGCGUCUUCUGGUAAAAUUGAUAGAAUUAUCCCGACGUUUCUUUCUUUGGAGGAAUAAAGGGGCAAGAAUAACAGCUGGUUACUGCAGGGAAGAAUGUGGUGUGGGGGGGGGACAUGAGCCGUGUUGGCUGUUUACACAUCAUAGGUCAUCACACAAGCUCUGUGAUAACGAGUUUUUCAGGGGGAAAGAGGCAAAUUAUUCAAUUAGUGUCCCACAAAUGGUGAGAUCAUUUGUUAGCAGUUAGGGGGGCAAAACCAGUUUAUAGCUUUAUAGCCUUAUAUUACAUCAGAAGAAAUUCCAGAUGGAUAAUAUUUAAUAGUUACUUAUAAAAUUCAGCCAGAUAAAUGCUAAAAUAAAAUAAAAAUGUUUAUUAACUUUUUCAGAAUGAGAAAUACUUUUUAAUUUUUUAAAAUUAAUUUAUUUUUGGCUGCGUUGGGUCUUCGUUGCUGCGCGUGGGCUUUUCUCUAAUUGAGGAGAGUGGGGUCUGCUCUUCAUUGCGGUGCGCAGGCUUCCCAUUGCGGUGGCUUCUCUUGUUGUGGAGCACGGGCUCUAGGUGUGCGGGCUUCAGUAGCUGUGGCACGUGGGCUCUAGAGCGCAGGCUCAGUAGUUGUGGCACACGGGCUUAGUUGCUCCGCGGCAUGUGGGAUCUUCCCGGACCAGGGCUCGAACCUGUGUCUCCUGCAUUGGCAGGCGGACUCUUAACCACUGCUCCACCAGGGAAGCUCCAGCAGGCGGAUUCUAACCAGGAAAGUCCUAGAAUGAGAAGUAAUUUUUAAAUUCAGAAGUUUUAGGAACAAAUUACAAAAGGAAAGACAUUUGAAUAAGAAUAAAUUAAAUUUCUGAAAAUUAAAAACAAAAAACAGACUGGGAAAAACACUUGCGACAAAAGCAACAUAGAAAAUAUUAGUAUUAUGCAUUGAUCAGAAUAUGAAAACCCUAGUACAUGUGUAGGGAAAAGAACGUGAACAGAGAUACUAUAACAAAAUAGAAACAAAAGAGGAAAUAUAAUUAAUGUACAAAAGUACAAAAAGUGUUCCAGCGUGAUUAGUGAUUCAUCAAAGAAAUAAAAUAGACAUUAUCAGUUGCCUACAAUAUUAGCAGAUCUUAUUAAAAACAUAAUUAUCUUAUAUCGCUGGCAUGAGGGUAUAUUUGUAAGAUUUGUUAGGAAAAUAAUCUGGCAGUAUGUAUCAAGUCUGAAAUGGUUUAUAACUUGUAAUCCAGAAUACCCACUUCUGUAAAUCAAACCCAAGAAAGUAAUUGUAAAUGUGAAGAGAAUUUGAUGUGAAAUGAUUUUGGCGGCGUUAUCUAUACUACAGUUUGUCCUACAUUUUAAUUCAAUUCUGACACUAUCCACCUGGAGUGUAAGAUUAACCGGUUUUGAGAGCACCAUUCGGUGGUAUUAAAUACAUUCAUAAUGUGCAACCGUCCCCACCAUCCGUCUCCAGAACUUUCACCUUGUAAAACUGAACCUCUGUCCCCACUAAACGUCAGCUCCCCGUCCCCUCCCCCAGCCCCUGCCCCACCAUCUACUUUCUGUCUCCGUGGGUGUCACACAGGAUCUGUCCCUUUGUGGCUGGCUUAUUUCACUCGGCACAGUGUCCUCAAGGUUCAUCCAUUUUGUAGCCUGUGUCAGCAUUUCUUUCCUUUGUACGGCUCAGUAAUAAUCCAUUGUAUGUGUAGACCCACAGUACAAGGAUGACUGGAAGCGGCUUCCUUGUCUUGUUUCUGAUCUUUUGGAGAAAGCAUUCAUCUUUUGACCAUUAAGUAUAUCUCUUUUAUUCCUAGUUUUCGGAGUGUUUUUUAUCAUGAAAGGCUGCUGAAAUCCUUUUUCUACGCCCGUUGAGAGAAUCGGGGAUUUUGGGUUUUGUCCUUUAGGCUGUUAAUAUGGUAUAUUACAUUGAUUGAUUUUUGGAUAUUAAACCAAACUUGCAUUCCUAGGGUAAAUUCCACUUGAUCACGGUGUAAAAUCCUUUUUAGAUGUUUGCAGUGUUUUAUUUUUUAGGUUUCCUUAGGUUUUCUUUUUUUUGUUUUGGGGUGUUUUUUUUUUGAGGAUUUUUGAGUCUGAGUUCAUAAUCACUGUGUUCUAUAGUUUUCUUAUUUUGUGUCUGGUUUUGGGUGUCAAGGUAGCACUGGCCCCAUGCGGUGAGUUGGGAUGUGAUCAACGCCCGUUAUGUCCACUGACCAUGAAUUCACAGCUCCUGGUGCGUUCUUCUUGUUAUGGUUCUUGGGAACGGUGCGUCUCUGGUCUCGGGGAACCCGGGUAUCUUUUUCUGUGGCUUGUUUCUUUCUCUGGUCAUUUUCCUUUGCACGUUUGAGGAAGACGGUUCUGUUUCUAGAGUGUGUGAGGUGAGCCCUUGUGGCAGGACUUGUGCCUUGUUUACAGCCGUGUCAGCCGUGCAGUGUGGACCCUUCCAGUUUGGGGCUUUCCUUUGGGAAAGUACCGUUCGUUGAUGUCUGAAGUGCCCUCUUUGUUGGCCAUAAAACACAGAAGGAAUCGCUCCAUGUUUGCAAAGGGGCACAGAGUACAUGUGCUGAUGGACCCCGUCCCCUUGUCAGGUGAAGGGCUCUGGGUCGUCUCUGAAGCUGAGUGACCCGUCCUGCUGUGCAGGGAAGUGCGUGGUUCUCCGUAGUCAUUCUGUCUGUCCACUGGGCUCUUUCAGUUACAGGCAACAGAAAGCAGCUCUGGCUAACCUAAGUCAAGAAAGGGGUUAUCGGAAAGGCUGUGAAAUUGUAGAUAAGAGGAAGACUGAUUAUUCACGUUUCGGAAAGAACCGGGGUAUUAGUCACCCUGUCUUCAGAUUGCCUUUCUUGGGAUGAGUCCUUUCCGGCUUUUUUACCCGCUGUGUCAUUGGGCUCAGGAUCCCGGUGUCGGGAGCAGCGGGUCGGCCUGGCCUCAGUGGGCGGGUGUCCACCCGGGGGAGCAGGGCUUCCUCACUCGGUCUCACAGAAGGAGAACCGAGGCGUCAUUACUAGAAACGGGGGUGGAUCAGGGAAAACAAAUGUUUUCUGCCUGGUUGUGGUCCAUCCUUUUAAAAACAAAGGUGAUUCAGGUGCUGUUAAUCUGAGCACCAGGUGCCCAGUGGGGGGUCUGUAGACACAGCUGAGACGUGUUCCUUUUGAAGGAUUUUCCUGUAUGUUAAAGAGAGAGAUCCAGAGAGACAGGAGAGCAAAGUCUGCAGCCUGGGACCGAGCAGAGGUGCAGCAGGAUGCCAGAGCAGGUGGGGGGCCCUUCAGCAGCCUGAACCUUGGGAGGGACUAGUCCAUACAGUAAACAGUGUUCGAAGGAACAGUUCUCACUAAGAAAUGUUUCCAGGCCACAGACUCCAGGGGGUGCUGGGUUGAUAUGGUGUUGAUGUCUUUCGCUCCAGGCGGCCGUGGUAUCUGCGUUAGGGCUGGAGUUUAUGGUUGGUUUGUCACCAUUGAGUGUUUUGUGCAGCUGAGAGAGAGCUGUGUGGUGAGCUCCCAAGCCCCCCCGGCAGCCAGCCUGACAGAUACAGGACGAGGCUGUCAGGUGCUGGGGGCGGGGGGGCAGCAACCUCAGCAUUACCUGUGACCUAACCCCCCCCGACGCACUGACUGAGAUCCUUGGGGGAUUCAUGGACCUAUAAAGGUUUGAGACACUGCAGAGCAGGCACUGUUGCUUGCCUAGCAGCAUCCAUUCCCUGUGUUUUUCUUAAUAACAAAAUGCAGGGUUGUUUUUUCAGUGCCCUUUGUAAUAAUGGUAGUAAUGAAUCUUCAGAUGAUGAAAUGGUAGUCUUCGUUCCCCCCCGGCAGCCAUCCUGCGACCAUGAAGGGAUCAGCCUUGAGACAAAUCUGGCACGAAGCUGUCAGAACUGAGGAUGGAAGGAACCUGGAUUUGUAAGCUUCUGAUCUGUCCUGGGCCUGGGUCUCUCCCAAGUCCGAUCUCCCAAUUACGUGUGAUAAGUUUCUCACCGUUUACACCAGUUUGACUUUGGGUGUUUUUGUUCCUUGCAGCUGAAAGCAUCCUAACGUAUCCAGACGUGGAAAUGGGUGCUGGACACACAAGGUGUUGUAUGUGCCGAUCCUCUGUAAAAUACCCACUUUUUCAGAUGGUCACAGGUUUUUCUCUUAGUCUUAUGAGUAAUGCUUUUACCCCCGGGUGGUCAUUAAAUUGUUCAGUUGAAGGUUGGUGGAGAGAGGGGGAGUAAGAAGAAUGAGAAGGCUGUCCUGAGAGGGGGCAAGCACCGGGCUGCAGAGCCCACUGGCUGGGGAGCUGAUCCGUGCUUUGCCCUGAUUUGGUGUUUGCACCUCAGUUUUUCAUUUGUAAAAUGAGAAGAAGAAUAAUGAAAUGGUGGAGGUGAAAACGCUUUGAAAACUGGACUCCUUUUUUCCCCCAGUUUAUUUCUCAUUUCUAAUUGCUUUUGUUUUUUCUUUAUGGUGCUAAAACAUACAUAAUGUAAAAUUUACCAUUUAACCAUUUUUAGGUGUACAGUUCAGAACUGUUAAGUUCGUCAGAUUUUUUCAGCAGAAACCUUACAGCCCAGAAGGGAGUGGCUUGACGUAUUUGAAGUGAUGAAAGGAAAGACCUUCCAACCAAGAAUGCUUUACUCAGCUCGAUUAUUUGGAUUUGUGGGAGAGAUAAAGAGUUUUCCAGACACAAGAGCUGAAGAGUUCAUCAACACUACACUGACCUUGUAGGAAAUGUUAAAGGGACUUCUUUAAGCUGAGAAAAAAGGGCACCAACAACCUAAGUGUCCAUCGACAGAUGAAUGGAUAAAGAAGUUGUGGUGUGAAUGCAGUGGAAUAUUACUCAGCCAUAAAAAAGAAUGAAAUAAUGUCAUUUGCAGCAACAAGGAUGGAUCUGGAUGGUGUCAUGACCUUGUAGGAAAUGUUAAAUGGACUUCUUCAGGAAGUAGGAAAGAGCUUGUAGGAAAUGUUAAAGGGACUUCUUUAAGCUGAGAAGAAAGGGCACCAACAACCUAAGUGUCCAUCGACAGAUGAAUGGAUAAAGAAGAUGUGGUAUGUAUGCAGUGGAAUAUCACUCAGCCAUAAAAAAGAAUGAUAUAAUGUCAUUUGCAGCAACAGGGAUGGAUCUGGAGGGUGUCAUGCUAAGUGAAAUAAGUCACACAGAAAGACAAAUGAUCUCACUUAUGUGGAAUCCAAAAAAAACAAAAAAAAAUCAUCAAACAAAACAAAACGAAA